rnacentral:misc_RNA from 1 species
AAAGGUACUAAUCUUUGACCUCACCUGUAUAUAGAUGUAAGCAAUGAGGAAGUAUGAUUGUUAAGUAAAUAUACACAUCAUCAUACAGAAAUUGCAGACAGAUAAUGUACCUGUAUGUGUGUGCGUAUAAAUAUAUAAGACAUGAACAAACUUCAUAUUGAGAAGAUGGCACUAAUAUCAGCAAAAGCAAGGCUCUAAUUGACAACUCACUUCAUGGCUUAGAAUGCUAAUCACAACCAUGGCUCUUGGAUCAAGCUCAGUUAGAACAGUACUUUGGGGGAAGAAAGAAGGAAGGCAUAGGUUGCAUGACAAUUGGGGCACAAUUAUACUUUUUUUCACUGCAGAUUAUCAACCCACCAAACUGAUCACAACAAAUUAACUUAAUCUAAUGACUUUUGUGACUUCAAAAAGUUGAGGAAUUCCUAAGCCCAAAGUAAAAAGAUAAGUAGAUAGGACAUCCCCAGUGCCCUCCCCACUUUGCACAGUUCAGCAGAGGAUCAUCUAUUGUAUGCAGCCUUCACCCUGCUUUUUUGCAAGGAACCUAUUUGCACAAGCCCAUGGCCUUCUAGCCACAAAGGAGUAACAUUACCAUUGUUGAAAAAUUGCCCUCAGAAUGAUAAGUAGAUAAUGCCCUUAAAGUUCAGACUUAGCAUUAUGCAUUUCAUAAGGGAACAAGGAUUCAUUUGCAACCAAAGAUUAUGAAUUACACAAACAAAGAACUAAUUCAUACUUGAUUUAUAAAGAUCAAAAUU